UCUGAAUGGGGCAACCCUUAGAACGGCCAGCUGAAUCUAUAGGCUGGCGCGAGCCAACCCAGCGAACUGAAACAUCUUAGUAGCUGGAGGAAAGGAAAGUAAAAACGACUCCCUAAGUAGCGGCGAGCGAACGGGGAAGAGCCUAAACCAAUGGUUUCGACCAUUGGGGUUGUGGGACAGCAACGUGGAUCAGGAAUGUUAGUGGAAGUGUUUGAAAGACACGCCAUAGAAGGUGAAAGCCCCGUACACGAAAACUGAACUGACCUAGCUGUAUCCCGAGUAGCACGGAGCACGUGGAAUUCCGUGUGAAUCAGCGAGGACCACCUCGUAAGGCUAAGUACUCC
rnacentral:rRNA from 1 species